UACGAAGGGGGCUAGCGUUGUUCGGAAUCACUGGGCGUAAAGGGCGCGUAGGCGGCCAUAUAAGUCGGGGGUGAAAGCCUGUGGCUCAACCACAGAAUAGCCUUCGAUACUGUAUGGCUCGAGACCGGAAGAGGUAAGUGGAACUGCGAGUGUAGAGGUGAAAUUCGUAGAUAUUCGCAAGAACACCAGUGGCGAAGGCGGCUUACUGGUCCGGUUCUGACGCUGAGGCGCGAAAGCGUGGGGAGCAAACAGG
rnacentral:rRNA from 1 species